rnacentral:rRNA from 1 species
GACGAACGCUGGCGGCGUGCUUAACACAUGCAAGUCGAACGCUGAAGCUCAGCUUGCUGGGUGGAUGAGUGGCGAACGGGUGAGUAACACGUGAGUAACCUGCCCUCUUCUUUGGGAUAACGCCCGGAAACGGGUGCUAAUACUGGAUAUUCACUGAUUCUCGCAUGGGGGUUGGUGGAAAGGUUUUUUCUGGUGGGGUAUGGGCUCGCGGCCUAUCAGCUUGUUGGUGGGGUGAUGGCCUACCAAGGCUUUGACGGGUAGCCGGCCUGAGAGGGUGACCGGUCACAUUGGGACUGAGAUACGGCCCAGACUCCUACGGGAGGCAGCAGUGGGGAAUAUUGCACAAUGGGCGAAAGCCUGAUGCAGCGACGCCGCGUGAGGGAUGGAGGCCUUCGGGUUGUAAACCUCUUUCGCUCAUGGGCAAGCCGCAGCUUUGGGUUGUGGUGAGGGUAGUGGGUAAAGAAGCGCCGGCUAACUACGUG